ensembl:lncRNA
GAGUACCGUUGUGGGCGGAGACUGUGAUUUUUGUGAAUGACUCAGGUGCUUUGUAGUGUCGGGAGUGACGCUGUGUGGCCUGUUCAUUCAUUCCGUUUAGGAGGAUCGGCGCGUUCUGGGUGUUCGGAGACACAUCAAUGUGCCAUUUAAACUGCCCCUGAGGACACACAACCAGCUACACACUGCUACACAAACCCUGCAGCCUUCAGAUGACUGACGGAGGCUCAAAACCGAACGCUAAUAACCGGAGUCAGCCAGCAGGAAGUGGCUUUUAUUCCAGGUGGAUUAUUUCACAGAGAACCACUGAAGUGUUUAAAGACGCCUGAAGGGAUGAAACCAAUUUCCCCUCCUGAGAUUAAAACUGAAACUGGAUUAGAAACUGAGCUGCUGGAAGGACAUUCAGACAGAAAAACAAAAGGAAACACAUAUAUAGAUACAGGCUUUAAAUAGCAGCAACGUCCAACUUUUACGCUUUAUAAAAAC